rnacentral:rRNA from 1 species
AUUGAACGCUGGCGGCAGGCCUAACACAUGCAAGUCGAGCGGAUGAAGGGAGCUUGCUCCUGGAUUCAGCGGCGGACGGGUGAGUAAUGCCUAGGAAUCUGCCUGGCAGUGGGGGAUAACGUCCGGAAACGGGCGCUAAUACCGCAUACGUCCUGAGGGAGAAAGUGGGGGAUCUUCGGACCUCACGCUAUCAGAUGAGCCUAGGUGGGAUUAGCUAGUUGGUGGGGUAAAGGCCUACCAAGGCGACGAUCCGUAACUGGUCUGAGAGGAUGAUCAGUCACACUGGAACUGAGACACGGUCCAGACUCCUACGGGAGGCAGCAGUGGGGAAUAUUAGGCAAUGGGCGAAAGCCUGAUCCAGCCAUGCCGCGUGUGUGAAGAAGGUCUUCGGAUUGUAAAGCACUUUAAGUUGGGAGGAAGGGCAGUAAGUUAAUACCUUGCUGUUUUGACGGUACCAACAGAAUAAGCACCGGCUAACUUCGUG